rnacentral:rRNA from 1 species
GAUGAACGCUAGCGACAGGCCUAACACAUGCAAGUCGAGGGGCAGCACAUGAGUAGCAAUACGAUGGUGGCGACCGGCGCACGGGUGAGUAACACGUACGCAACCUGCCUUCUACUAUGGGAUAACCCGUUGAAAGACGGACUAAUACCGUAUAAUACAGGGGCUCCGCAUGGAGAUAUUUGUUAAAGAUUUAUUGGUAGAAGAUGGGCAUGCGUAUGAUUAGAUAGUUGGUGAGGUAACGGCUCACCAAGUCAACGAUCAUUAGGGGUUCUGAGAGGAAGGUCCCCAACACUGGUACUGAGACACGGACCAGACUCCUACGGGAGGCAGCAGUGAGGAAUAUUGGUCAAUGGACGAGAGUCUGAACCAGCCAAGUCGCGUGAAGGAAGACGGUUCUAUGAAUUGUAAACUUCUUUUGUGCAGGAAUAAAGUGGGUUACGUGUAACCUUUUGUAUGUACUGUACGAAUAAGGAUCGGCUAACUCCGUGCCAGCCGCCGCAGUAA